rnacentral:rRNA from 1 species
CCUAGGGUGGCUGCAGUGGGGAAUAUUGGACAAUGGGCGAAAGCCUGAUCCAGCCAUGCCGCGUGUGUGAAGAAGGCCUUCGGGUUGUAAAGCACUUUCAGUGGGGAAGAAAGCCUUGGGGCUAAUACCCUCGAGGAAGGACAUCACCCACAGAAGAAGCACCGGCUAACUCCGUGCCAGCAGCCGCGGUAAUACGGAGGGUGCGAGCGUUAAUCGGAAUUACUGGGCGUAAAGCGCGCGUAGGCGGUCUGAUAAGCCGGUUGUGAAAGCCCCGGGCUCAACCUGGGAACGGCAUCCGGAACUGUCAGGCUAGAGUGCAGGAGGGAAGGUAGAAUUCCCGGUGUAGCAGUGAAAUGCGUAGAGAUCGGGAGGAAUACCAGUGGCGAAGGCGGCCUUCUGGACUGACACUGACGCUGAGGUGCGAAAGCGUGGGUAGCAAACAGGAUUAGAUACCCUAGUAGUC